rnacentral:rRNA from 1 species
AUUGAACGCUGGCGGCAGGCCUAACACAUGCAAGUCGAGCGGUAGAGAGAAGCUUGCUUCUCUUGAGAGCGGCGGACGGGUGAGUAAUGCCUAGGAAUCUGCCUGGUAGUGGGGGAUAACGUUCGGAAACGGACGCUAAUACCGCAUACGUCCUACGGGAGAAAGCAGGGGACCUUCGGGCCUUGCGCUAUCAGAUGAGCCUAGGUUGGAUUAGCUAGUUGGUGAGGUAAUGGCUCACCAAGGCGACGAUCCGUAACUGGUCUGAGAGGAUGAUCAGUCACACUGGAACUGAGACACGGUCCAGACUCCUACGGGAGGCAGCAGUGGGGAAUAUUGGACAAUGGGCGAAAGCCUGAUCCAGCCAUGCCGCGUGUGUGAAGAAGGUCUUCGGAUUGUAAAGCACUUUAAGUUGGGAGGAAGGGUUGUAGAUUAAUACUCUGCAAUUUUGACGUUACCGACAGAAUAAGCACCGGCUAACUCUGUGCCAGCAGCCGCGGUAAUACAGAGGGUGCAAGCGUUAAUCGGAAUUACUGGGCGUAAAGCGCGCGUAGGUGGUUUGUUAAGUUGGAUGUGAAAUCCCCGGGCUCAACCUGGGAACUGCAUUCAAAACUGACUGACUAGAGUAUGGUAGAGGGUGGUGGAAUUUCCUGUGUAGCGGUGAAAUGCGUAGAUAUAGGAAGGAACACCAGUGGCGAAGGCGACCACCUGGACUAAUACUGACACUGAGGUGCGAAAGCGUGGGGAGCAAACAGG